rnacentral:rRNA from 1 species
CAGCCGCCGCGGGAAUACAGAGGGUGCGAGCGUUAAUCGGAUUUACUGGGCGUAAAGCGUGCGUAGGCGGCUUCUUAAGUCGGAUGUGAAAUCCCUGAGCUUAACUUAGGAAUUGCAUUCGAUACUGGGAAGCUAGAGUAUGGGAGAGGAUGGUAGAAUUCCAGGUGUAGCGGUGAAAUGCGUAGAGAUCUGGAGGAAUACAGAUGGCGAAGGCAGCCAUCUGGCCUAAUACUGACGCUGAGGUACGAAAGCAUGGGGAGCAAACAGGAUUAGAUACCCCAGUAGUCCCUGUCUCUUAUAC